rnacentral:sRNA from 1 species
CUUAAUGCGGUAGAACUGGUGUCCUUGCAAGAAGACAGGCAGAUAUACAGGGAGAAUGCUAUGUGAAGAUGGAUAUUGACAUGGAGUGAUAUAUCUACAAGCCAAGGAAUGCCUGGGACUACUGGAAUGCCUUGCUGGAAGAGGCAAGGAAGGAUCCUUCCCUAGAACCUUCAGAGAGAACAUGGCCCUACCAACAACAUGCUUUUGGAUUCCUAGCCUCCAAAACUGUGAGGCAAUACAUUUCUGGUGUUUAAGCCACUGAGUUUGUGGUUCUUUGCUGUGCCAGCCCUAGGAAACACAUACAGUGAGGGAGGUACAGCAAAGGCGUCAUUAAGCCAGCCACUGCUAAGUGCAACUGACUGCUUGAAAUCAUGGGCUUAUCCUCCAGUAAUCAAUGUAAGCUGCAUCUCAGGACAAUCUGGUCAAGGAGAAAAAGGGAGAAGGGUUUAUCCACCAGCCCCAUCUCCUAUUAGUCAAAGGUUUGCCUCAAGAGGCCUUCAUUUUCCCACGUUCUUGGUUGUUGUGCAUGUGCAAGUCUAGUUUUGUGGUAUCCUAUGACUCAAUGUCAACAUGAAGUCUGGAAGUGGGAGGCAAGAGGCCCACAGUAGGCAUGAGCUGAGACACUGCUAGGCUGCCCUUCUGGGAAGUACAUCAGACCUGUGCAGAACUGGUUGAAAUAGCAGCAGCUGGAACAAGGUAGGUGAGGCUAUGAGGAUCUAAAGAGGAGCCUGAGGGUACACUGGCACAGGCAUUGAUAAGCACUUACAAGGGGACAUAACAGAGAGCUACAGAAACAAAUUGUGAGGCAGUUUAACCUAAUUUAUGGUGUCAGGCAAUACUUUUUGGAGUAAGGAAUGCUUAAGCUGAGAUACAAAAGUGAGUAGCCCAGUGACCUUGGGAAAGUCAUUAUAUGUCAAAACCUCAAAGUAUUUCCUGAUUCACCCAAAUUUUCCUCCCUAAAAUUUAAUCUAAAAAUAUUUAAGCAUUAUUUUUUCAAGUCACUUUUUUCUUUUCAAAAAUAAAAAUGACUUUAUUGUUCUUACAGUUUGUAAGAAUAAGACUUGCUCCAUUUUAAAAUGUCAAUCAAUGAUAUUGAAGAACGUAAGAAAAAAUAUCACCCAUAAUUCCAUCUACUCAGAGAAAAUAUAAAGGUCAAGAUGAACUGGGUUAUGCUAUGAUAACAGGACAGCAAAACCCUAACAUCUUGGUGGCUCAAAACUGCCAAGGUUUGUUUUGUUUUCUCAUGCAUGCUAUGUAUCCAGUGUAGGUGAUUUAGGGACUGAGUUUCAUAUUAUCCUCAUUAAGGGCCCUAGGAGGACCACAGUCUCUAUCAUCAUAAAAGUUGUUCAUUACUGUGGAAACAUGAGGGAAACAUGGUGAAGCAAGCUCUGGUUCUUAAAAUCUUCCAUCCACAAGCCACUCACCUCAUUUCAUUUCAUUUCAUUUCAUUUCAUUUCAUUGGCCAAAGCAAGUCACAUGGCUGUGCCUAACUGCAAGGGGAUGGGGAAGUGUAAUUCCUGAAGGAGGAUAACCAUAGCUAUCAGUGAACUGCACUACAACUGUCACAGAUAACCAUGAUCAACCUUUACAAGUCAACAGAUUUUGGGGUUUGAGAUUUAUUUGUGAAUUUAUUUCUUUUCACUGAUUUCUGUGAAAGAGAAGAGUAAGAAAAUAACAAAUGGCUAAAGAAAACUCAUCAGGGCAAUGCAGAAUCAUGAUUUUCUGUGGAAUUCCUUAAUCCAUACUAGUUCAUGUAUCCUUUUUCAAAUUGAUGAACAUAUUAGUCUAUGUAGAGAUUAGUGAUUUUGACAAGGAUAAAGGAUAUUUAAAUACCUCAUGGGUCUCUUUUUCCACCUCUCUUUCACCUUAGUGUGAAUGACAUUGCGGUUCUUGGACCAGAACAGUUCUAUGCCACCAGAGACCACUAUUUUACCAACUCCUUCCUGUCAUUUUUUGAGAUGAUCUUGGAUCUUUGCUGGACUUAUGUUCUUUUCUACAGCCCAAGGGAGGUUAAAGUGGUGGCCAAAGGAUUUUGUAGUGCCAAUGGGAUCACAGUCUCAGCAGACCAGAAGUAUGUCUAUGUAGCUGAUAUUGCAGCUAAGAACAUUCACAUAAUGGAAAAACAUGAUAACUGGGAUUUAACUCAACUGAAGGUGAUACAGUUGGGCACCUUCGUGGAUAACCUGACUGUCGAUCCUGCCACAGGAGACAUUUUGGCAGGAUGCCAUCCUAAUCCUAUGAAGCUGCUGAACUAUAACCCUGAGGACCCUCCAGGAUCAGAAGUACUUCGCAUCCAGAAUGUUUUGUCUGAGAAGCCCAGGGUGAGCACCGUGUAUGCCAACAAUGGCUCUGUGCUUCAGGGCACCUCCGUGGCUUCUGUGUACCAUGGGAAAAUUCUCAUAGGCACCGUAUUUCACAAAACUCUGUACUGUGAGCUCUAGACUCUAGAUAGU